rfam:Rhizoctonia solani AG-1 IB, isolate 7/3/14, WGS project CAOJ01000000 data, contig: 10645
GGCCGUAUAGUGUAGUGGUUUAGCACUCGGGAUUUUGAUCACUCAUCAAAUCUUCCCGCAACCCAUGUUCGAAUCCUGGUAUGGCCU